CCUACGGGAGGCAGCAGUGGGGAAUCUUGGACAAUGGGGGCAACCCUGAUCCAGCCAUGCCGCGUGAGUGAUGAAGGCCUUAGGGUCGUAAAGCUCUUUCGCCUGUGAUGAUAAUGACAGUAGCAGGUAAAGAAACCCCGGCUAACUCCGUGCCAGCAGCCGCGGUAAUACGGAGGGGGUUAGCGUUGUUCGGAAUUACUGGGCGUAAAGCGCGCGUAGGCGGAUUAGUCAGUUAGAGGUGAAAUCCCAGGGCUCAACCCUGGAACUGCCUUUAAUACUGCUAGUCUUGAGUUCGAGAGAGGUGAGUGGAAUUCCGAGUGUAGAGGUGAAAUUCGUAGAUAUUCGGAGGAACACCAGUGGCGAAGGCGGCUCACUGGCUCGAUACUGACGCUGAGGUGCGAAAGUGUGGGGAGCAAACAGGAUUAGAUACCCUGGUAGUCCACACCGUAAACGAUGAAUGCCAGUCGUCGGGUAGCAUGCUAUUCGGUGACACACCUAACGGAUUAAGCAUUCCGCCUGGGGAGUACGGUCGCAAGAUUAAAACUCAAAGGAAUUGACGGGG
rnacentral:rRNA from 1 species